rnacentral:misc_RNA from 1 species
GGAGGGAUCAUUAACAAACACACACAUACAUGAGCCACGACGCUCUGUGCAACCGUCCGUUCCUGGGAGGAGAGGAGAGGAGGCGUGCAGCGUGGGUAUGCUGCCGCGUGAGACAGCGGGAAGCGUGUCUCGUACCACCCCAUCCCACCCCAGGAUCAACACAACCACAAUGACCGUCAUAUUAUAUACGAAAACGAAAACGAAAACAACUUUUAACAAUGGAUCUCUUGGCUCUUGCAACGAUGAAGAACGCAGCAAAAGGCGAAACGUCAUGUGACCUGCAUGCUUUGCGAAUCAUCCAAUCUUUGAACGCAUCUUGCACCUGAUGCCUCGCGCAUCAGGUAUACUUGUUUGAGUAUGACAUACAUAUGAUCACAGAGGGAGACGGGUUCGAUGGGCACCGAACCUGAGACGCUCUGUGGACUUGGCACUGUCGGUAUGUGUGUUUGUGUGGGUAGUGGCAUGGGUACGCUACAACGAUCCCCAACCGACCGACUUUGCUUAAAUGUAGGCCUCAGCUGCCGAUGGGUUGAACCUGUCAGAGGCGGCGACGGUGGAAAAGUGUGUGUGCAUGCGCGUACAUGAGUACGUACGUACGUGUACUACAACAACAUCAUCAUCAUCAUCUCAAAUCAAGUAAGAGGACCCGCUGAACUUAAGCAUAUCAGUAAGCGGAGGAAAAGAAACUAACCAGGAUUCCCGGAGUAACGGCGAGUGAAAGGGGAACAGCUCAAAAUUGGAAUCGGCAGGCCUUGCGGCGUGACCGAAUUGUCAAUGAUAGGUCUAGCGUGCGGAAGCGGUGGGGCUCAAGUCGCCUGGAAGGGCGCGCCGAAGAGGGUGACAGUCCCGUGCGGCCCCACUUAGCGGAAGGAUAUAUCAUGCGUGGCCGACGAGUCGGGUUGCUUGGGAAUGCAGCCCCAAAUGGGUGGUACAACACAUCUAAAGCUAAAUACCGGCGAGAGACCGAUAGCGAACAAGUACCGUGAGGGAAAGAUGAAAAGCACUUUGAAAAGAGAGUGAAACAGUACGUGAAAUUGUUAAAAGGGAAACGAUUGAGACCAGUGGGGAAGCGCGGCGUUCAGGCAUUGCGAAAGCAGGGCUGCAGUCGCCGUGCUUCGGGUCGACGGCCGCUCGGGAGCCUGGAGAAAGCCGCGGGGAAGGUGGCCGCGCUUCGGCGUGCGCUUUAUAGACCCGUGGUGAUGCAGGCGCGCCUGGGCGGCAAGGGCGUGCGUACACGCGCGCGGUCGACAGAAUGGUCUUAAACGACCCGUCUUGAAACACGGACCAAGGAGUCUAACAACUAUGCGAGUAUUCGAGUGGCAAACUUGGAUGCGCAAAGAAACUGAGCGUCUCUGACGCGCGUGGGAGCGUCGCAUUCACUUUGCGGACGUGCACCAUGGGCCGGUCCUGUGCAUGCACUGGAUCGCGCUGGAGCAUACGUGUUGGGACCCGAAAGAUGGUGAACUAUGCCUGAAGAGGGCGAAGCCAGAGGAAACUCUGGUGGAGGCUCGUAGAGAUUCUGACGUGCAAAUCGAUCUUCGAAUUUGGGUAUAGGGGCGAAAGACUAAUCGAACCAUCUAGUAGCUGGUUCCCUC